GACGAGCGCUGGCGGCGUGCUUAACACAUGCAAGUCGAACGGAAAGGCCCUGCUUUUGUGGGGUGCUCGAGUGGCGAACGGGUGAGUAACACGUGAGUAACCUGCCCUUGACUUUGGGAUAACUUCAGGAAACUGGGGCUAAUACCGGAUAGGAGCUCCUGCUGCAUGGUGGGGGUUGGAAAGUUUCGGCGGUUGGGGAUGGACUCGCGGCUUAUCAGCUUGUUGGUGGGGUAGUGGCUUACCAAGGCCUUGACGGGUAGCCGGCCUGAGAGGGUGACCGGCCACAUUGGGACUGAGAUACGGCCCAGACUCCUACGGGAGGCAGCAGUGGGGAAUAUUGCACAAUGGGCGGAAGCCUGAUGCAGCAACGCCGCGUGCGGGAUGACGGCCUUCGGGUUGUAAACCGCUUUCGCCUGUGACGAAGCGUGAGUGACGGUAAUGGGUAAAGAAGCACCGGCUAACUACGUG
rnacentral:rRNA from 1 species